rnacentral:rRNA from 1 species
UAAUAGGAACAUAAGAGCUGACGGUGGAUGCCUAGGCUCUAACAAGCGAUGAAAGACGUGAUCAGGCUGCGAUAAGUUUCGGGGAGGUGCCUUAUAACCUUCGAUCCGGAAAUUUCUGAAUGAGGAAACUCAAUACGAGUAAUGUCGUAUUGUCUAAUGGAGCAUUCCAUAGACGCACACCCAGGGAAGUGAAACAUCUCAGUACCUGGAGGAAAAGAAACUAAAACAAGAAUUCCGCAAGUAGCGGCGAGCGAAAACGGAACAGCCCAAACCGUAGGUAGUAAUACCUAGCGGGGUAGUAAGACAGAGACGUAGUUUACUAGAAGAGUUACAAAAGGUAAGUAUAGAUAAAGUUGUUGGAAAGCAACGCCAAAGAAAGUGAUAGCCUUGUUAUCGAAAUACUUACCCCUCUUUUGUCUCUGAUCUUGAGUAAUUCGAGACACGAAUAGCUCGGAUGAAUCAGCCGGAACUAACCGGUAAGGCUAAAUAUUGUUAGAGACCGAUAGUGAACUAGUACCGUGAGGGAAAGGUGAAAAGAACCCCGGAAGGGGAGUGAAAUAGAACUGAAACCGUCAGUUUACAAAGAGUAGAAGAGGUGUUUACACCUCGACUGCGUGCCUAUUGAAGAAUGAGCCAACGAGUUGUAGGUAACUGCAGGCUAAGGGGUAUAAAGUCCUGGAGCCAUAGCGAAAGCAAGUGUGAAUAGCGCGACCCAAUUGUAGUUACUUACAGACCCGAAGCCGAAUGAGCUUACCAUGAGCAGGGUGAAGUAUAUCGAAAGGUAUAUGGAGGCCCGAACCAGUAGGUUGUACGACUCCUUUGGAUGACUUGUGGUAAGGAGUGAAAAGCUAAUCGAAUUCGGUAAUAGCUGGUUCUCUCCGAAAUAGUUUUUGGACUAGCGUCGUGUGUUC